CGGGGCCAAGAAAAGUGGCCGAAAAGACCAUUGAAAAAUGUCCUGGAAGCGGCACCAGUGUAAGUGCCGCAGCGCCCCUGUCCCUGUGAUUGGGCAUGAGAUAGAGCACUGGCAGUGACUGCAUCCGGCUGCGCUGGACGGGGGAAGAAGGAGCAGCAGCGUCUGCAGCAGCCAGGUCUGUUAUGCACUUGGACACCCUUGCAUCGAUUGCGAUGAAACAAUAUGAGUUGGUCCAGUUGGACCCUGGCUAGGUUUUAUGGGUUUGGGAUCCUGGUCAGACAUCACAGUGAAAUACGCCGGACAAAACUUUGACCCUGGGGAGUCUGUUCUGGGCCUUCCACUGGAUGGAUUUGGAUGAAAACUUCACAGAGUGGUAUUGCGCUCCUUUACCCUUGGUAACCUGCGGGGAAAGUCUCCUCACCUGUGACAUUUGUUUCCGCAUCCUGGAGAAUAACAGUUUGUCAACCUCAUCACAUCACCAACUCAACCAGACUAGGAGAUCCCAGCAUGGACUGUACAUACCUCUCAGCAUCAUAACUGUAUCAAUUCUACACCGUUACAUGUCCCAGUAUACUGUAGUUAUAAGUAUGACUCUAAAACAGGACACUUCGCAAAAUACCAAACAUUUCUGCAGAGAUUCCAAAUUUCCAAAAUGUUUAUCAUUAAACAUUUUCCUUAUUAAGUCAUUUUUAAGUGUACGUGAAACUGCACUAAAUUAACCCAGUUCUGUGCUUAUGCUAAAUUUAGAGAACAUGCUUCAGAGUAUGUGUAAUGAAUUCCACUAGGAAAACAUAUCUAUGUUCCUUGACAGGGUCAGAGGUCACCGAUUUGUCCUCUUAUCUCCGCCUGUAUGUUUAGCUAAAGGGCACUUUACUUCUAAGAUUUCUGAGUAUUUAGCAUUCUAAAGUUUUCCAAUUUGAAAUGUACCCUACUAGAAUAUACUAUAUUAUAUGAUCACCAGAAUUGUAUAAAGUAUAUUAUACACGAAGAACAGUAUUUACAUGUAUUUUGUAUGCGGCAGAACACACCCUGAAAUCUGUAAUACUAAAAUGUAUAAUGUUGAUCGCCAGUUCAAUUUUAAAAUAUUAUUGAUCCAUAAUUCAUAUUAUCAUACUUAAAGUGUUGUCAGUCCUCCAAAAUGGUUGUUUUUGGAAAUGUGCCGCAUUUUGCAGAAUAGGGUCUAUUUUCCUAGGAGUUACCACAACAGGUAUCGGAGAGAUCCUCCUGUUACUGAGAAAGAAACAGUCCCAAUACAGUAAUUGUUUGUGGGGACCAUGAAAAAGCCCUAUUAAUCAAGCUCUGAAAAGUUUAGCUAAUUGGCGCUUGCCCCCUUAGCUAAUUAAUUCCUUCUUUAGAUGGAAUAUUACUUUUCAGGAGUUGCCACAUUUAUAGUUAAGUAGUCCCCUAAAUCUUGAGUAAUCAAACACAAUAUGACACUUCAAAUAAAGAUGCCUGACACAGUUCAGAA